rnacentral:hammerhead_ribozyme from 1 species
AUCCAACUUACCAGUCCCAAAUAGGACGAAACGCGCGUCCUGGAU